rnacentral:rRNA from 1 species
GUACAUCCAGAGAACUUAGCAGAGAUGCUUUGGUGCCUUCGGGAACUCUGAGACAGGUGCUGCAUGGCUGUCGUCAGCUCGUGUUGUGAAAUGUUGGGUUAAGUCCCGNAACGAGCGCAACCCUUAUCCUUUGUUGCCAGCGGCUCGGCCGGGAACUCAAAGGAGACUGCCGGUGAUAAACCGGAGGAAGGUGGGGAUGACGUCAAGUCAUCAUGGCCCUUACGGCCAGGGCUACACACGUGCUACAAUGGCGCAUACAAAGAGAAGCGACCUCGCGAGAGCAAGCGGACCCCACAAAGUGCGUCGUAGUCCGGAUUGGAGUCUGCAACUCGACUCCAUGAAGUCGGAAUCGCUAGUAAUCGUAGAUCAGAAUGCUACGGUGAAUACGUUCCCGGGCCUUGUACACACCGCCCGUCACACCAUGGGAGUGGGUUGCAAAAGAAGUAGGUAGCUUAACCUUCGGGAGGGCGCUUACCACUUUGUGAUUCAUGACUGGGGUGAAGUCGUAACAAGGUAAGCGUAGCGAG